UACAUUUCACGUAAAACAUAGAUGUUUAAGGUGUGGCGACCAUAUCUAUGGUGGCGAUUUUCAUUUUAUUUUGUAGUAGCGACUUCCUUGUUCCUUUACGGAAUCCGGUCAAUUGUCUUUGUUUUUACUUCAUCGAACUGCGCAUACAAGUGACAUUGGGGGCCACAUAAGGGCCUGUGUGUGUUUACACUGGAGCCUGAUAAAUAUCACAUUUUACUUGCAGUGUAAACGAAUGUCUUUAGUGAGGCUAUACUGCGUUCAAAAGUAACAAGAAUGAAAAUGGUCACCGGGCGGACUCUGGACAGGAUUUACUUGGCGGUGUUGUUGUCUGUGGUGCUCCUUUCAUGGUCAUACGUCAUCUACGCCAGCACGGUUGCGGCUCAAUGGCUGCUGGAAGAGAGACCCACCGCUCAUGACUGAAGAAGAGAAGGCAGUCAUAUUACAGACAGGAAAGAUGGGAACAGGAAAAGUUCCCUGGUUGGUGUGCGAUCCCCCUGACACAAGCAAACCACAGAGUCGUACUAAGUUCCCACACGAUACACAACACACCCAGUAGGAGGAUAGGCUGGAGGAGCUGGUCCAGGAGGUGGAGGUGCCAAAUGAUGAUGAGGAGAGGAGGAAACACGACACCGAUUGAGAACACUCACUAUGCAUUUUAUGGUAAACAAAAUGGACCAAAGAGAAACUUUUCCAGCAUUGUUUUUAAUAUCGUGAAACUCCUUGCGCAUUUCAACACUAUAACCUUGUUUUGAACUAAUUUCCACUAUUAAAUACAAAUUAUCAAACAUCCAAAUCAGCUUUAUUGGCCUGGUAUGUUUAACACACAAGGAGUUUGAUCUCAUUUUUAAAUGCAUAUUUAUCCGGGAGAGUCUUCAUACCAAUUUCCUUGACCCAGCCACAUCCAAAGAAGUUGUAGAC